GACGAACGCUGGCGGCGUGCUUAACACAUGCAAGUCGAACGGAAACGCACUGCUUUUGUGGGGUGCUCGAGUGCCGAACGGGUGAGUAUCACGUGUGUAACCUAACCUUGUCUUUGGGGUAACUUCAGGAAACUGGGGUUACUAUCGUACCGCAUCUCCUGCUCCAUUGUGGGCGUUGGAAAGUUUCGGCGGUUGGGGAUGGACGCGCGGCUGAUGAGCUUGUUGGUGGGGUAGUGGCAUACCAAGGCUGUGACGGGUAGCCGGCCUGAGAGGGUGACCGGGCACAAUGGGACUGAGGUAGGGCCCAGAGGGCUACGGGAGGCAGCGGGGGAGAACAUUGCACAAUGGGCGGAAGCCGGAUGCAGCGACGCCGCGUGCGUGAUGACGGCCUGUGGGGUGUAAACCGCUUUCGCCUGUGACGAAGCGUGAGUGACGGUAACGAGUGAAGAAGCACCGGCUAACUACGUG
rnacentral:rRNA from 1 species